rnacentral:rRNA from 1 species
CCCGCCGGCGACCGGCGCACGGGUGAGUAACACGUAUGCAACCUGGCCGCCACAGGGGGAUAACCCGCGGAAACGCGGCCUAAUACCCCGUGACGCCACCGGAGGGCAUCCUCCGGUGGCCAAAGGAGCGAUCCGGUGGCGGAUGGGCAUGCGGCGCAUUAGCUAGACGGCGGGGUGACGGCCCACCGUGGCGGCGAUGCGUAGGGGUUCUGAGAGGAAGGCCCCCCACACUGGGACUGAGACACGGCCCAGACUCCUACGGAAGGCAGCAG